AUGAACGCUGGCGGCGUGGAUAAGACAUGCAAGUCGAACGGAGAUUGCUGAGCUUGCUUGGCAAUUUGAGUGGCGAACGGGUGAGUAACACGUGAGCAACCUGCCGAAAAGAAGGGGAUAGCUCGGGGAAACUCGAAUUAAUACCGUAUAACGUUUAUCAGGGAUCCUGGUGGAACGAAAGGUGCCUUUAGGGGUGCCGCUUUUCGAUGGGCUCGCGGCCUAUCAGCUAGUUGGAGGGGUAACGGCCCACCAAGGCGAUGACGGGUAACUGGUCUGAGAGGAUGAUCAGUCACACUGGAACUGAGACACGGUCCAGACACCUACGGGUGGCAGCAGUCGAGAAUCAUUCGCAAUGGGGGAAACCCUGACGGUGCGACGCCGCGUGGAGGAUGAAGGCCUUCGGGUCGUAAACUCCUGUCAUCAAGGAGUAAGGUGUGGGGGUUAAGAGCUACCACAUGUGAUAGUACUUGAAGAGGAAGGGACGGCAAACUUCGUGCCAGCAGCCGCGGUAAUACGAAGGUCCCAAGCGUUGUUCGGAAUUACUGGGCGUAAAGGGAGCGUAGGCGGCGGGGCAAGUCAGAUGUGAAAUACCGGGGCUCAACUCCGGGACGGCAUCCGAUACUGCCUUGCUAGAGUAGUGGAGGGGCGACUGGAAUUCUCGGUGUAGCAGUGAAAUGCGUAGAGAUCGAGAGGAACACUAGUGGCGAAGGCGAGUCGCUGGACACUAACUGACGCUGAGGCUCGAAGGCUAGGGGAGCGAAAGGGAUUAGAUACCCCUGUAGUCCUAGCAGUAAACGGUGCACGUUUGGUGUGGGGCGGUUCGACCCGUUCCGCGCCGGAGCUAACGCGUUAAACGUGCCGCCUGGGGAGUACGGCCGCAAGGCUAAAACUCAAAGAAAUUGACGGGGACCCGCACAAGCGGUGGAGUAUGUGGCUUAAUUCGAUGCAACGCGAAGAACCUUACCCGGGCUUGACAUGCAUCCCUCAAGCGGUGAAAGCCGUGGAGUGUCGCAAGACACAGUUUGCACAGGUGCUGCAUGGCUGUCGUCAGCUCGUGUCGUGAGAUGUUGGGUUAAGUCCCGCAACGAGCGCAACCCCUAUGAUUAGUUGCCAGCGGGUAAAGCCGGGGACUCUAGUCAGACUGCCCAGAUCAACUGGGAGGAAGGUGGGGAUGACGUCAAGUCAGUAUGGCCCUUACGCCCGGGGCUGCACACGUACUACAAUGCUCAGUACAAUAUGAACCGAGACCGCGAGGUGGAGGAAAUCUGAAAAAGCUGGGCUCAGUUCGGAUUGCGGGCUGCAACUCGCCCGCAUGAAGUCGGAAUCGCUAGUAAUGGCGCAUCAGCAACGGCGCCGUGAAUACGUUCCCGGGUCUUGUACUCACCGCC
rnacentral:rRNA from 1 species